GACGAACGCUGGCGGCGUGCUUAACACAUGCAAGUCGAACGGAAAGGCCCUGCUUUUGUGGGGUGCUCGAGUGGCGAACGGGUGAGUAACACGUGAGUAACCUGCCCUUGACUUUGGGAUAACUUCAGGAAACUGGGGCUAUUACCGGAUAGGAGCUCCUGCUGCAUGGUGGGGGUUGGAAAGUUUCGGCGGUUGGGGAUGGACUCGCGGCUUAUCAGCUUGUUGGUGGGGUAGUGGCUUACCAAGGCUUUGACGGGUAGCCGGCCUGAGAGGGUGACCGGCCACAAUGGGACUGAGAUACGGCCCAGACUCCUACGGGAGGCAGCAGUGGGGAAUAUGGCACAAUGGGCGGAAGCCUGAUGCAGCAACGCCGCGUGCGGGAUGACGGCCUUCGGGUUGUAAACCGCUUUCGCCGGUGACGAAGCGUGAGUGACGGUAAUGGGUAAAGAAGCACCGGCUAACUACGUG
rnacentral:rRNA from 1 species